rnacentral:rRNA from 1 species
GACGAACGCUGGCGGCGUGCUUAACACAUGCAAGUCGAACGGAAAGGCCCUGCUUUUGUGGGGUGCUCGAGUGGCGAACGGGUGAGUAACACGUGAGUAACCUGCCCUUGACUUUAGGAUAACUUCAGGAAACUGGGGCUAAUACCGGAUAGGAGCUCCUGCUGCAUGGUGGGGGUUGGAAAGUUUCGGCGGUUGGGGAUGGACUCUCGGCUUAUCAGCUUGUUGGUGGGGUAGUGGCUUACCAAGGGUUUGACGGGUAGCCGGCCUGUGAGGGGUACCGGCCACAAUGGGACUGAGGUACGGGCCAGACUCCUACGGGAAGCCAGGGGGGGGAAUAUUGCACCAUUGGACGAAGCGUGAUGCAGAACCGCCCUGUGCGGAAUGUCGGCUUUCGGGUUAUAAACCGCUUUUGCCGGUGACGAAGAGUGAGUGACGGUACUGGGUGAAGAAGCACCGGCUAAAUACGUG